UUAAGUGACUAAGCGUACACGGUGGAUGCCUUGGCAGUUGGAGGCGAUGAAGGACGUAUUAACUUGCGAUAAGCCUAGUCAAGCUAGUAAAAAGCGCUUGAGACUAGGAUUUCCGAAUGGGGAAACCCACCUGCUUGCAGGUAUCUUGCACUGAAUACAUAGGUGUAAGAGGCGAACGCGGAGAACUGAAACAUCUAAGUACCCGUAGGAACAGAAAUCAACCGAGAUUCCGGAAGUAGCGGCGAGCGAAACCGGACCAGCCCUUAAGCUUAUUAUGUGUUAGUGGAACAUUCUGGAAAGUUUGACGAUACAGGGUGAUAGUCCCGUACACGAAAAUGCAUUUUAAGUGAAAUCGAGUAGGUCGGAGCACGUGAAACUUUGACUGAAUAUAGGUGGACCAUCAUCUAAGGCUAAAUACUCCCAACUGACCGAUAGUGAACCAGUACCGUGAGGGAAAGGCGAAAAGAACCCCUGUGAGGGGAGUGAAAUAGAACCUGAAACCGUGUACGUACAAGCAGUAGGAGCCCUUCGAGGGUGACUGCGUACCUUUUGUAUAAUGGGUCAGCGACUUAUAUUUUGUAGCGAGGUUAACCGAUUAGGGUAGCCGUAGGGAAACCGAGUCUUAACUGGGCGUAUAGUUGCAAGGUAUAGACCCGAAACCCGGUGAUCUAGCCAUGGGCAGGUUGAAGGUUGAGUAACAUCAACUGGAGGACCGAACCCACUAACGUUGAAAAGUUAGGGGAUGACCUGUGGCUAGGAGUGAAAGGCUAAUCAAACCGGGAGAUAGCUGGUUCUCCCCGAAAUCUAUUUAGGUAGAGCCUCGGACGAAUACUUACGGGGGUAGAGCACUGUUAAGGCUAGGGGGUCAUCCCGACUUACCAACCCUUUGCAAACUCCGAAUACCGUAAAGUACUAUCCGGGAGACACACGGCGGGUGCUAACGUCCGUCGUGAAGAGGGAAACAACCCAGACCGCCAGCUAAGGUCCCAAAGUCAUAGUUAAGUGGGAAACGAUGUGGAAAGGCCCAGACAGCCAGGAGGUUGGCUUAGAAGCAGCCAUCCUUUAAAGAAAGCGUAAUAGCUCACUGGUCGAGUCGGUCUGCGCGGAAGAUGUAACGGGGCUAAACUAUGCACCGAAGCUGCGGAUUCAAACUUUGUUUGAGUGGUAGGGGAGCGUUCUGUAAGCCGUUGAAGGUGAACCGGGAGGUUUGCUGGAGGUAUCAGAAGUGCGAAUGCUGACAUGAGUAACGAUAAUGCGGGUGAAAAACCCGCACGCCGGAAGACCAAGGGUUCCUAUCCCAUGUUAAUCAGGGUAGGGUAAGUCGACCCCUAAGGCGAGGCCGAAAGGCGUAGUCGAUGGGAAACGGGUUAAUAUUCCCGUACUUGGUAUAAUUGCGAUGGGGGGACGGAGCAGGCUAAACAAGCAUGGCGUUGGUUGUCCAUGUGAAAGUGAGUAGGUUGGUGACUUAGGAAAAUCCGGGUUGCUAAGACUGAGACACGAGACGAGCACCCAAGGGUGUGAAGUUGUUGAUGCCAUACUUCCAGGAAAAGCCUCUAAGCUUCAGAUUAUACCGAAUCGUACCCCAAACCGACACAGGUGGUCAGGUAGAGAAUACUAAGGCGCUUGAGAGAACUCGGGUGAAGGAACUAGGCAAAAUUGUACCGUAACUUCGGGAGAAGGUACGCUCCUAUCUGUGAUGAGACUUGCUCUCUAAGCGGACGGGAGCCGCAGUGACCAGGUGGCUGGGACUGUUUAUUAAAAACACAGCACUGUGCAAAAUCGCAAGAUGACGUAUACGGUGUGACACCUGCCCGGUGCCGGAAGGUUAAUUGAUGGGGUUAGUUUUCGGACGAAGCUCUUGAUCGAAGCCCCGGUAAACGGCGGCCGUAACUAUAACGGUCCUAAGGUAGCGAAAUUCCUUGUC
rnacentral:rRNA from 1 species